rnacentral:tRNA from 1 species
AGAGUGAUCCAUAAACUGAGAGAAUCGGGAGGGUUCAGUCCCUCUUUCCCC